CUCGUACAUCAAUUAAUCGGCCACGCAGGGGCGCUGGCCGUCGCCCAUAUUUCCCAUCAUCCUUUGCGACAUCUCCUAUAAAAGCGCCUUGCAACGUCGUUCCUACCUCUUUUCACCGGCGUGUCUUCAAGAUCAGCUGAAGAUCCCUACAAGAUGCCUGGAGUGCGAGAAUGGCCUGUCUUUGGCGUUCUCAAAAACUCAUCGGGUCUCAUCCCAGCCUGUAAUCUACCGCUGAGCCACCAGGCCGGAUGAUUCAAUGUCUUUAAUGCUUUCUGUCCAAGGAAAAAUGAAGACUCGCCGGACCACAUGGUUGGAAGAGUUUUAUUGUGGUUAAACUGCGUCACCCCAAGAAGCAUUUGUUCAUCUUUGUUCUCUGCUGCUGUGAUGAUUCUUAUUUGCUACUCUUGACAAGCUGGAUGACGAGACUGUUCAACCACCAUGUUUGACUAUCUGAGGCGGUGAUGUCUGAAAGUUACAGAUUCAUGUAAUUGUU